ACGGGAGGCAGCAGUAGGGAAUCUUCGGCAAUGGGGGGAACCCUGACCGAGCAACGCCGCGUGAGUGAAGAAGGUUUUCGGAUCGUAAAGCUCUGUUGUAAGAGAAGAACGUUAGUAAGAGUGGAAAGUUUACUAAGUGACGGUAUCUUACCAGAAAGGGACGGCUAACUACGUGCCAGCAGCCGCGGUAAUACGUAGGUCCCGAGCGUUGUCCGGAUUUAUUGGGCGUAAAGCGAGCGCAGGCGGUUGUAUAAGUCUGAAGUAAAAGGCAGUGGCUCAACCAUUGUGUGCUUUGGAAACUGUGCAACUUGAGUGCAGAAGGGGAGAGUGGAAUUCCAUGUGUAGCGGUGAAAUGCGUAGAUAUAUGGAGGAACACCGGUGGCGAAAGCGGCUCUCUGGUCUGUAACUGACGCUGAGGCUCGAAAGCGUGGGGAGCAAACAGGAUUAGAUACCCUGGUA
rnacentral:rRNA from 1 species